UCUCCUGGUUCAAUGACACGGUUCAUUUCUUCUUGAAUUUUUCCUUGGAGGGAGGAAAGGAUUAAGAAGCUGAUAACAAUCUUACCUUGCAACUGAAAUGACUUCCAGUUUGGCAAAGAUGAAGAAAAGGGAAAACUGUGAAUAUUUGGGAAGAGCAGAAGUGGGAAGGUUUGGGAUGAUCUCCUCUUUAUGUGUGCUGAGUGGUAACUUAUGUCACACACAUGGGACAUCACGACAACCUUUUAACUCAGUGGAGCCAUGGAGUAAGUCCAGCACAGCUCACUGAUUCGGAUCUCAAGGGUUCUCUUUCCCAUUCCGAAAUCUCGCAGUGUAGACAAGGGGCAGAACUCAAGGACAGGACCCAAGCUGGAUUGCUGCCAUGGUGCCGAGUCACAGGACUCAGCUGGACCACUGGUGAUGCAAUGGAGGAAGCAGGACACAGGAAAGCCCUCAAGAACACAUGGCCCAGGGUGCAGCUGGCAAUCAAGCCCUCAGGAAAGACAAGACUGACCAUGGAGGAGUCGGAACAGUGGUUGCACGAAGAUGUGCUAAUUCAGGAUUGCCAAUGGGAGUAGAUCUAUUUACAGGUGACAGCUCUGAUUCUCUUCGCUUUCCUUCCACCCCAGUGAAACCACCUCCUUGAGCAAUACAGUGUUUUCAUUGCUAGCAUAGUUAUUGAUCUUUGGCCCAAAAGUUUUCUCCCAGCAAUCCCAAACCGCUCCUGAAACCACUUCAGUCGUUAUUUCGCAGUUUACUGUCCAGAGGACUGGGUGUCCAUGUCUGGCUCUGUGUUUGGUGAUGACUCUUUCUGUUUAUGGGCAGAUGCUUGUAAUCCUCCAGGAGAAACCGUCCCCUCCAGGCAAUCCUUCUGCCUAGAUUGGAAAAGAGAUCCUGAACCUUUGUAACCUGGGAGGAGCCAGGAUCAGAGUGCAGCUGGCCAGGCAGAGGAUGGAGGCUGCCUGGGCAGCUGUUGCAGAGGGGGUGCCAGGCAGGAGCAGCAGUUUUUUGGCCCUCCAGGUGCACUGAGUCAUGCACCAUGCCAGGGCAGGGGCCUGCAAGAGCCUGCGUGCCCAGGAGACAGCUCCCCAAGAGCCACCUACACCCUCUGCAUCCUGGAGGGAUGACAACAAAGCUGAAGUGAUUAUGAACAGGAGGCCAUUGUUGAAAUGGUAACUCUGGGGGAAAGAGUCAAUUUGAUGCUCUAUCACAUAUUCUCAAGUGGGGAUAUUUUGUUCCCCAGUUGCAGAUUCUGUCAGAUUACCGGGCUGUGCUGCUGUUCACCCCUUUAGAAAUCUUUAGCUUUAAUAAUACUUUUAAUAUAAUUCUCCAAGGCUCCCGGGUGCAGGCUCCACUGAUGGAAAAAUGAUGAUUAUUUAUUAAUAAUAAUAAAAGUACAUUAGCCGAAGGCAAGGGGAAUCAAUAAACUCUAACGAGAUUGACAUGAAAAAGGUGCCUGCACAUCUGCCUGUUCUCCAAGGCUUGUUAUCAGGAGUGGAGUUUUUCACAAGGGGGAACUUUCCUGUGCAGGAUGGGCAAAGAAAAGAGGGGAAUGGAUGGUCACGCCAGUCUCAAGAUUUAUUGCAAAACUAUGAGGUCUUUUUCUGCACUCUGUUCUCCCAGAUAUUUCCAAGAAUAUCAGAUCCUUCUCUGAGAAAAUGGUGUGACCACUGAGACUCCUGACACUGUCAUACACAGUAAAAGGGAGGAAAAAACCCUAUAUGGGGGCAUUUGGGUACCAGUGGAGGAAAUCUGUUGCUUCUGUUUACAUACAGGUCUGUUGGAAUGGACCUGGCUGCCGCCAUAGCAAGCAAGAGCACCUUCCCAAGGGCUUCCAAUCUGUUUCAAGCUUCAGGUUGUACCUGCUGACAAUAUAGGGUGAAACCCUUUCUCAAAUAGUGAGCCCAUGGACUUGCAACCUGCUGGGCUGGUGUAUGCACUGUGGGAAAUAAUGGAGGAGCUCUCCAGCGGGAGGGAAUGAUUGCAGUCUUAAAAUACAGCCAAUCUGAUGUCCUCACCUCCACUUCUUCCUCAUAUUCCUUGGUUUCCAGUAUGCAACUCCAAACACAGCCUACAACUGAGUUGCUGGCUUGCAGGUGAGACAUCCCACACAGGACUGGGGAGAAGACGUUGCUCCCUGCUCACGUGUCUUUGUCUUUUGACCAGCCCAAGCCAGAACUGAUACCAUCUUAAGGUAAGCAGACCUUGUGGGCACAGCUCAGUUCCUCCUAGAAAAUGAGCCUGUACAUUAAACAGCCGCAGUAAUUUCUGUGUGCUCAUCUGGAGAAGGUCAUAUCAUCUUCUAAUGGGACACAGGUUAACAAUGCUACAGUAACCGUAGGAUAAUGCAGGGAAAGGGUUGUUAUAAGGCCAUAAUUCAGUCAAUGACUGCUGAUAACAUAAUAAACCAAGAGAGUGAACACCAAGUGCUUGUGUGCCUUGCAAGGUUCUGCCACUGAUUUACAGCCUCUGGAGAUGCCUAUCAGCCCGUGCAUUGUUAUCAGGAAUAUAUAAAGCCUGAGCACACCCUAUUAAACAUUAACAUUUUUAAAGACCCAGAUGUGUUAAAACUCGAGCUGCUCCUCGCUAAUGGAUUUUGCUUGCCUUGACAAAUGCCACUGCAAAAAGAAAUCAAAAGCUUCCCGACUUUGACCUCUUUCAAUUUUUCAUCAUUAUUGCAUUGUUUUAUUGGAUUACACCCACUUCUUCCCACCCUGCCAAUCUGUAUUUCUGCAGGAUCACUACAGGGUGGUGAUCAGUAUCUCAAGUGUUCAGUGUGCUCAUUUUCAUACAAAUAACUUGUUAGUUUCUUUUCACUAAUCUGUCAAAUCAGUGUGGGCUGCAAAUCUACUUUGAGAACAAAGACUCUUGGAAAAAUAUUUUUUAAAAUCAUUAUUUCACUGCAGAAUUUUUUUUUAAAGACUCAUGGGGGUUUUUUUACAUAUUCUGAGCUGAAAGAAUUUAUGUGAUGGGUCUGGUCACUGGGAGAAGAAAAUAAAAAAAUCUGUGUAUGGGAUUAGUUCAUUGUCCCUUUGCAGAGCCUAAGGUGACAGUAUUUUCCA